CUUGGUGCCAUGAGAAACACCGCAAACCUCUUCCGGUAAUUGCGGGGUUACCAAUGCAAGCUUUUGAUGUGUUUCAACUGAGAUAUCCAAAAACUGGAGUCGUCCCAGUCAGUGGAGAAAGAGAAAAAAAGCAGUGAAGAUACCCGAGAACUGCAAC